rnacentral:tRNA from 1 species
GGAGAGGUGGCCGAGUGGCUGAAGGCACUCGCCUGCUAAGCGAGUAUGGGGAUCAAUACUCCAUCGCGGGUUCGAAUCCCGCCCUCUCCG